rnacentral:rRNA from 1 species
AGACCCGAAACCCGGUGAUCUAGCCAUGGGCAGGUUGAAGGUUGGGUAACACUAACUGGAGGACCGAACCGACUAAUGUUGAAAAAUUAGCGGAUGACCUGUGGCUGGGGGUGAAAGGCCAAUCAAACCGGGAGAUAGCUGGUUCUCCCCGAAAGCUAUUUAGGUAGCGCCUCGUGAAUUCAUCUCCGGGGGUAGAGCACUGUUUCGGCUAGGGGGCCAUCCCGGCUUACCAACCCGAUGCAAACUGCGAAUACCGGAGAAUGUUAUCACGGGAGACACACGGCGGGUGCUAACGUCCGUCGUGAAGAGGGAAACAACCCAGACCGCCAGCUAAGGUCCCAAAGUCAUGGUUAAGUGGGAAACGAUGUGGGAAGGCCCAGACAGCCAGGAUGUUGGCUUAGAAGCAGCCAUCAUUUAAAGAAAGCGUAAUAGCUCACUGGUCGAGUCGGCCUGCGCGGAAGAUGUAACGGGGCUAAACCAUGCACCGAAGCUGCGGCAGCGAACGUAUCACCCAAGACAACUUUACGGAGUUGACGAUUGACGGAGCGAAGCGACGUCAAAGCGUUCAUUAAAGUCGAGUUGGCUUAGGGAUACGUUCGUUGGGUAGGGGAGCGUUCUGUAAGCCUGUGAAGGUGUGUCGUGAGGCAUGCUGGAGGUAUCAGAAGUGCGAAUGCUGACAUAAGUAACGAUAAAGCGGGUGAAAAGCCCGCUCGCCGGAAGACCAAGGGUUCCUGUCCAACGUUAAUCGGGGCAGGGUGAGUCGACCCCUAAGGCGAGGCCGAAAGGCGUAGUCGAUGGGAAACGGGUUAAUAUUCCCGUACUUGGUGUUACUGCGAAGGGGGGACGGAGAAGGCUAUGUUGGCCGGGCGACGGUUGUCCCGGUUUAAGCGUGUAGGUGUGUGUUCCAGGUAAAUCCGGUUCACUUUAACACUGAGGCGUGACGACGAGGCACUACGGUGCUGAAGCAACAAAUGCCCUGCUUCCAGGAAAAGCCUCUAAGCAUCAGGUAACACGAAAUCGUACCCCAAACCGACACAGGUGGUCAGGUAGAGAAUACCAAGGCGCUUGAGAGAACUCGGGUGAAGGAACUAGGCAAAAUGGUGCCGUAACUUCGGGAGAAGGCACGCUGACACGUAGGUGAAGUGAUUUACUCACGGAGCUGAA